AGCUCCAAUAGCGUAUAUUAAAGUUGUUGCAGUUAAAAAGCUCGUAGUUGGAUUUCUGGUUGAAAGCCGCCGCCCUCCCGCGAGUGCGCGGAGGCUCUCUUCCAUCCUUCUGUUAAACCUUCUCGGUCUUUGUUGGCCGGUUGGCAGCCCAGAUAUUUUACCUUGAGAAAAUUAGAGUGUUUCAGGCAGGCUUGCGCCCGGAUACAUUAGCAUGGAAUAAUGGAAUAGGACUUUUGCCUCUUCUGUUGGUCUGAGGGGUCGAAGUAAUGAUUAAUAGGGAUAGUUGGGGGCAUUAGUACUUAACUGUCAGAGGUGAAAUUCUUGGAUUUGUUAAAGACUAACUUAUGCGAAAGCAUUUGCCAAGGAUGUUUUCA
rnacentral:rRNA from 1 species